rnacentral:sRNA from 1 species
CUAAGGCAAAGCCUCAUACAGACUUUAGCUAUACCAUCAAAGCCUUGAGAAGCAACAAGAAGCUUGGUUAGUGUUUUGGAGUCAAAUAUUACUAAAUGUCAUGUGUAUGAGUGAGUAUGACAACUAGAACCAUAACCGGAUCUUAAAAACCUAAGUAUUGAAUCUUUGUUAGAAGAUACAAAGACAAAGACUCAUACGGACUUCGACUACACUAUCAAAGCUUUGAGAAGCAAGAAGAAGCUUGGUUAGUGUUUUGGAUUCGAAUAUGACUUGAUGUCAUGUGUAUGACUCAGUAUAAACACUAGAACCGCAACGGAUCUUAAAAGCAUAAGUAUUGUAUCAUUGUUAGAAGAUACAAUGACGAAGACUCAUACGGACUUCGACUACACCAUCAAAGCUUUGAGAAGCAAGAAGCAGUUGGUUAGUGUUUUGGACUCGAAUAUGACUUGAUGUCAUGUGUAUGAGUGAGUAUAAAAACUAGAACCGCAACGGAUCUUAAAAGCCUAAAUAUUGUAUCCUUGUUAGAAGAUACAUAGACAAAGUCUCAUACGGAAUUCGGCUAAACCAUCAAAGCUUUUAGAAGCAAGAAGAAGCUUGGUUAGUGUUUUGGAGUGAAAUCUAACUAGAUGUCAUGUGUAUGAGUGAGUAUACCAACUAGAACCACAAUUAGAAUUUUAAAAGCCUAAGUAUUAUAUCCUUUUUAGAAGAUACAAAGACAAACACUCAUACGGACUUUGGUUACACCAUCAAAGCUUUGAGAAGCAAGAAGAAGCUUGCUUAGUGUUUUGGAGUCGAAUAUGACUUGAUGUGAUGUGUAUGAUUGAGUAUAAGAAAUUAAACCGCAACCGGAUCUUAAAAGCCUAGGUAUUGUUUCCUUGUUAGAAGAAACAAAGGCAAAGCCUCAUACAAACUUUAGCUUUACCAUCAAAGCCUUGAGAAGAAAGAAGAAGCUUGGUUAGUGUUUUGGAGUCAAAUAUUACUAGAUGUCAUGUAUAUGAGUGAGUAUGACAACUAGAACUAUAACCGGAUCUUAAAAACCUAAGUAUUGAAUCUUUGUUAGAAGAUACAAAAACAAAGACUCAUACGGACUUCGACUACACUAUCAAAGCUUUGAGAAGCAAGAAGAAGCUUGGUUAGUGUUUUGGAUUCGAAUAUGACUUGAUGUCAUGUGUAUGACUCAGUAUAAACACUAGAACCGCAACGGAUCUUAAAAGCAUAAGUAUUGUAUCAUUGUUAGAAGAUACAAUGACGAAGAUUCAUACGGACUUUGACUACACCAUCAAAGCUUUGAGAAGCAAGAAGCAGUUGGUUAGUGUUUUGGAGUCGAAUAUGACUUGAUGUCAUGUGUAUGAGUGAGUAUAAAAACUAGAACCGCAACGGAUCUUAAAAGCCUAAAUAUUGUAUCCUUGUUAGAAGAUACAUAGACAAAGUCUCAUACGGAAUUCGGCUAAACCAUCAAAGCUUUUAGAAGCAAGAAGAAGCUUGGUUAGUGUUUUGGAGUGAAAUCUAACUAGAUGUCAUGUGUAUGAGUGAGUAUACCAACUAGAACCACAAUUGGAAUUUUAAAAGCCUAAGUAUUAUAUCCUUGUUAGAAGAUACAAAGACAAACACUCAUACGGACUUUGGCUACACCAUCAAAGCUUUGAGAAGCAAGAAGAAGUUUGGUUAGUGUUUUGGAGUCGAAUAUGACUUGAUGUGAUGUGUAUGAUUGAAUAUAAGAAAUUAAACCGCAACCGGAUCUUAAAAGCCUAAGUGUUGUUUCCUUGUUAGAAGAAA